rnacentral:lncRNA from 1 species
UAUGGGCACGGUGGGGAUGGGAGGAGGUUGGACUUGGGGGUGUUGGAGGAUCUUUCCAACCUGGAUGGUUCUAUGGGCACGGUGGGGAUGGGAGGGGGUUGGACUUGGGGGUCUUGGAGGACCUUCCCAACCUGGAUGGUUCUGUGGGCACGGAGGCGAUGGGUUGGGGUCAGACUUGGGGGUCUUGGAGGAUCUUUCCAACCUGGAUGGUUCUAUGGGCACGGCAGCAAUGGAAGGGUGUCGGACUUCGGGGUCAGACUUGGGGGUCUUGGAGGACCAUCCCAACCUGGAUGGUUCUGUGGGCAUGGUGGGGAUGGGUUGGGGUUGGGCAUGGUGGGGGUCUUGGAGGACUUCCCCAACCUGGAUGGUUCCAUGGGCACAGCGGUGAUGGGGGGAUUGGACUUGGGGGUCUUGGAGGACUUUUCCAACCGUGAUGGUUCCAUGGCCAUGGUGGGGAUGGGUACGUGGGCAUGGUGGGGAUGUGCAGCACGCAGCACGCAGCACACAGCAGCAUGCAGCACCCAGCACGCAGCACAUAGCAUGCAGCAGCACCCAGCACCCAGCAUGCAGCAGCACCCAGCACGCAGCACCCAGCACGCAGCACGCAGCACCCAGCAUGCAGCACCCAGCACCCAGCAGCACCCAGCACCCAGCACGAAGCACACAGCACCCAGCACCCACGCAGCAUGCAGCAGCACACAGCACCCAGCACGCAGCAGCACCCAGCACCCAGCAUGCAGCAGCACCCAGCACGCAGCACCCAGCACGCAGCACCCAGCACCCAGCACGAAGCACACAGCAUGCAGCACCCAGCACCCAGCACCCAGCACGCAGCACCCAGCACGCAGCACCCAGCAC